CCAGUUCUGGCGUGGAGAGAGGAGGAAGGUGAGACGGGAGGCCAAGGCAACGGCGAGAUCCACGUCGAGCUGCCAUGGCCAUGACCUGAUCCACGACGAGGUUAAAUGGGGGCGGCUGCUUCCUAAAGGACGACGAAGCUCUCCAAGGGUGGGCCUUCUGUUCUCCCCGAGAAUGAUGUACCCGUGGCAUGAUUGCUCUUCAUGUGUACGUGCUUGCUGUAUUUACCUGCAUCUGAUGGUUCUUCCAAUGUGCGUGUUUGAGAAAUACACCUGCAGAUUGACCCGGCGAAAUACAAGAGCAUCUCAUCUGGAUUUAGCGUUCUGCUAAAGGAGCAAGGAGCUAGGGGAUUUUUCAGGGGAUGGGUGCCUACCAUGCUUGGUUACAGUGCUCAGGGGGCUUGCAAGUUUGGGUUCUACAAGUUCUUUAAGAAGACCUACUCAGAUAUGGUUGGGCCUGAGAAUGCCGUGAAGUACAUGACCCUAUAAUUUACCUUGUAGGGUCAGCUUCUGCUGAGGUAAUUUUUGAUAUCGCUCUAUGCCCCUUUGAAACUGUCAUGGUCCGUGUGCAGACACAACCUGGAUUUGCUUGUGGGUUGAGUGAUGGGCUUCCCAAGUUCAUCAAAUCUGAGGGUGCUGCUGGGCUUUACAAGGGAAUUGCUCCUCUCUAGGGUCGGCAGAUUCCUUACAAGUGCUUUCUCUCAUCAUUCUGUUAUAGUCUUCUAAUUUGAAUUGUCACUACUAUGGUUGUUUCACAAAUGUGGCCUGCUUUGGAACCAAAUGCUCUAAAGCUGGUCCCCUGUUUCAUCUAAUCGGCCUGUUUGUUUUUCUUUGAUACCAAUUGGCGAUGUUUAGUUACCUUUUCUUCUCCUAUAUGAGCAAACUACUAUCCUAUUGAUGGCCAACCAUGCUGAUACUAUUCUAUAUUAGUUUUACCAUUUCUAUUUGUUGCCUAGCUUACGGACAUUAUUCAUCGACUCCUUAGAGUCAUUCACUCCACAGUUUCGAUGGAAGUUUUUAGCUGAAACUCCAAAAUUCACUUUUCUUGCCAAAAGUAAAUAUGUUAGCCAGACAUGAGAUUACUGUAUGUAUGUCCAUCCACACUUGCGCUGCAGCAGAAGAGAACAACUUAGCAUAUAUGACCCACACAAUAAUAAAGAAUAAAGAAAAGGAUUAGAUAUUUUUAUAUAGUAUAAAUAAUAAAGAAGCGUGACCCCAGACUGUUAAAUAUGUGAUAUAUAUCCAAAGGAGAGUGAAGAUAGCUUUUUUGUUGUGCUGCCAACUGGGUUAACAAAUUCAGAUUAUGUUAUUGUUCUGUACAACAAUACCUUGCUAAACGAUGGACGUCCUCAGCGAAGAAAGCCAUGUCCAUGACCCUCUAAAGAAGAAAGAACACAAGCCAUAAGAAACAAAUGCACUUUCAUAUACUUAGUAGAAGUCGACUCCAAGUGAAAAUGAGGAGUGCAUAGCCGGUUACCAUCUAAAGAUAUUGGCAUCAGAAAUCCUCAAACACCUCCUUGAACAGUUAAAUUGCAGGACAAGUUUACAUAGACUAUUUUGUAAAUUGCAAUUACUGAAUAUGAGCACACGAGCAAACAACCAGACAGUAACGGCCUAAUGGGCAGUGAUUAUUCAUGAGUGUCAUCCCAUAGAAUGUUCAAAUUCACUAAAAUAAGCCAAUUCAGCCCUUAACAGUCUAGCAGAACAUCUCUCACAGAUUUUGCCACUGAUUCGUGAGUGGGGAGGAUAUAGAUGCCAGGCGGGAUAUGGUGAGAUACAAUGCCGAUGUCUAACGACAGCAGUGGGUCGAGCGACACGGGCUUCUGUCCAGCGACGCCAAGAAAGAAGCGGUUGAAUGUUGUUUCAUUCCCCACGCGGCUGAAUCCAACUCGGUCUUUAUCCUGCCUUGGAGUUCUCUCUCAUAACUGAAGCCAGGAGGUAUGGAAGUUGUUGGUGUGGUGACCGCCGUAGGGCCCGGGCUGACUGGCAGGAACAUUGGGGAUGUUGUCGCCUACGCAGGCAAGCCGAUGGGCUCUUAUGCCAAAGAGCAGGUUAUUUCAGCCAAUGUUGGUUCCCAUCACACCUUUGAUUGAUCACACAGCGGCUGCUAUCGUGCUGAAGGGGAUGACUGUCCAUAUGCUGGUUCACCACAUAUUUAAGGAGAAGAAGGCAUAAACAGGGGACUCGGCGAAGAAUCUACAAUGCUUGUCAAUAUGUUUGCAUCUGAACACUGAAUCCUUUGUCUCUCUGUUUCUCCUGGUUAUGUUGGAUUCAGUAUGAGUGAGUGUGUUUGUUGGUUAUGAGUUGGAUCGUGGUCUUGCUGUGCACAUCAUUGUUUGAAGCAUGACGAGUUGUAAAGACCAACAUUUUUCAAAAUAGUGACCUAGCAGGACAAGUA